rnacentral:misc_RNA from 1 species
UAGUCUAAUCCUCAUCAAAUUAAAAAUGUGUUGUACAAAUUAUUAACCUUAACCUCACAUCGUAAUGCCAUUUUCCUGAUGAAAAUCAGAAUUCUCCUUUAAAGUUAAUUCACUCUCAUUACCACAAAAAGACCCAGCAUUACCAGAAUCAUCAUUUCCAUUGCCAGCAUUUCCUCUAGGCUCACCCCACAAUGUCUGAGUCAAGCCAUUCAAAAACUUUUGGUAUUCUGUUUAAGGACCUGAGUAUCAGUAAAUUUGAAUAGCAAGACAUAAAAAAAAAAAAGAUGGUCCUCCAUGCAUUUAAUUCUUUCCUGAUGGAAGAGAAGAAUAAAAAAGAAAGAAAGAAAGAGAGAAAGGGAAGCAGUUGGAACCCCUCUCAGAUUUGAUCCCCCUAUCAAGUAAUUAUUUUGCUUUAAAAAUCCCUAACUAUUCUUUUUAUUAACAAAAUUAGAGAACUAAGUUUCAAAAGUAAGAUUCUUGACAACUAAAAAUAUUAUUCCAAGAAUAAUGAAACAUAAUUCAAGGUACCAUACAAAAAGAUCCAGAACAACCAUCUUGUCAAGCACUCAAUUCUCUCUUCAUGUGUUCCUAAUCAGGUACUUUAUUUCCAAGUUCUUCAUUUACUUUAUUGCCAUCUUCUUACGCUAGAAAUUUCUCAUAAUCCAUGACUCCCUCUUUACCUCCUUCCAUAUCAGAAACUCCAUUGUCUAGAUCUUCCACAACUUUCUUAUUAGCAUCUUCCUUCAAACAACUCUGAAACGCAUCACAAUUAAAGCACAAAAGUGCCAAUUAUAAAAUUCCACAGUUACGGUACAAUUCCAUAGAACUCACAAACAAAAACACCAAAUGAAAGAAAGGAAAGCCUAGCAAAUCACCGUUGUACCUUAUUUUCAUCCAAAUCACAAACCUCCUUCUCAAAUCAUAACCGACUCAUCAUUCUUACCAUCAAAAGCAACCAUCACUAUUUGCAGAAAAUGUCAUAAAGCUCAAACUCAAUCAUCCUUAUUCCAUCCACAUAACACAAAUUUAACUGAAGUCCUAAUUCACAGAAAAAUUAUCAGCAAACACUUCAUUUAUGAACACACACACAAACACACUAAUGCAUUAAUAUAGACACACAUACCAAUACAUUUUCCAUCCACAUUCAGCCACAUUUUUUACCAAGUUAAUUAAUAUACCAUGAAAAUCAAGAAAAAUAAUAAACAAAUACGAGAUGCCCAAAUUUAUAUGCAUUCACCUUGGCAAAUAAAUAUAUACAAAAUUUACUGAUUAUGUACCAGAGUAUCGCCUAAACUUGCCAAAGACUGACUGAGAGGCUCAUCCUUCAACACAACCACAGGAAGUCUACCAAAAUCCCAUCCAAGAACCCUGCAAAUAACCUGACCAAGAGCCCUAUGGGCCCUUUUUCUCUUUGUUCUCAGAAUUGCUAUGGCAUGCUGAACAAGGCCCAAACAACCCUUAAACAUUUUCCCUACUUUCACUCCCAUCCCUCCACAAACUAAGCAAUAAAAGUCCCCAGUUUCCUGGUUUUUCUCAUAAAAAUCCCUCAGUUCUCGGUGUUCCACAAACAAACCGAAAAAGAACUUGAAUUCGUCAGUUUCUUCAACGUCAUUAUCAUCACCGAAAGAAUCAUCUCCUUCAUCUUCUUCCUCGAAUUUGUUAUCUUCUUCACUAUCCAAAGCAGCGUUUUUGCCAAAGAACUCAUUACAACAUUUGACUAUCUUCUGCUGCAUUUGCAUUGUGGCAAUUUUGGCUUCAUGAAUACCUAGAGUGAAUUGGGCGGACGGACUCGGUUUGACCUUAAAAGAAGGCCAUCCAGAGCUAGAGUUAGGAGAAGAAGACGGUCGUGGAGGGUUGAUAGGCCAUUCAGGACCAGGGUCGGGUUGGCGGCUGGACCCAGAACCUGAAGGGGUACUGUUCUUGGCAUUUUGGUAUCCGUGCUUGUUUCCCUUGGUUUUCUUGAAGGAUGUGGGGUAAGAUACAUGGAGAUUUCUUGAUGGGUUGUUGUUACUGUUAUGAAAAGGUUUAGGCCUAAGACGAUUAGGGUUAGGAUUCAAAGCUGGAGGGCCUCUGUGCCAGAGAGAGUGAAGGUAAAUGACCUCAUCUCUGAGCCUCUGUUCAUAAGGCGUCAAGGGUUUUUCAUAGGGAUUCAUGGCCAAGAAAUUUGAUUUGGGUUUUGAUACAGAGGUCUGUUUCCGCCUUUGUAGUUUCUGAAAGUGAAAGCCAAAGCAACGGAAGAAACUGUGGCAGAUGAGGUAUCGAGCUUUUUAAGUGAUGUACU